AGGUCAGUGUUUUGUUUUAUUCUAACUGACUGUAAACAAUGCUGCUGUGAUUCUGCAUUAGCAGUAGCUAAAUGACAGCUAGCUAAUGUUGCUAUCAACCUCCCGUUACACUGAAAAAAAUCCUGGUGAGAACCCUGUAUACAUGUAUUAACAAGCUAUUUUGUUUAUUUGUUCUUAAUCACAGGAAAGCAUUGACUGAGGAGAUUUGUCCAUUAAUCCAAGAUUUGCCAGGAACUAAUGACAGUCCUGUGGUCUGGAGCCCCCUAAGUGGACUAUCUUCACAAAAUCAAUCCAGAGUGACAGAAGAAGUUGUUACCCUGAAUCCUAAUUCCCCUGACCAUGACUCUGACGAUUGUUCUGAAGAUCCAACUGAUGUCAGCCACACUGUUAUGGCUGAUGACGAUUUUGAGUGUUGGACUCCUGUAAGCGAGCAGCAAAGUUUGUUCGGAGCAGAAGAUUCUAGGACAGCUGAUGAGCUCUCUGAAGCUUGGAGCCCUCUCAGUGGACCACAGUGUCUUUCAGGAGAAGAAGUUUCUAACUCGAUGGGUCAUGAUAAUUCUGAACACACCAUUGGAAACUUCUCUGAAGACACUCAUGAUGUUCAUCA